GCUAUUUCGGAUGCCUUGAUAACGAAG
rnacentral:sRNA from 1 species